AACGCAGCGCUACCUCCGACCGCGACCCGUCUUUGCCCCGGGAAGAAAGUUGGCCCGAGCGGAGCCAGGUGCCACCCGAGACGUGAGCGCCUUGGUGCGGUGAGUUACUUAAAAGGACAGCAGGAAAUCCUGGCCUCUGGGUUGCACUUUCUGGUUGAGCCUCUGAGAUCCCAAACAGCAUUUUAAAAAAAUGAUUCAGUAAAACAUAGAACACUGUCA